AUACGUAGGGGGCUAGCGUUAUCCGGAUUUACUGGGCGUAAAGGGAGCGUAGGCGGAUUUUUAAGUGAGAAGUGAAAGGCUACGGCUUAACCGUAGUAAGCUUUUGAAACUGGAGGACUUGAGUGCAGGAGAGGAGAGUGGAAUUCCUAGUGUAGCGGUGAAAUGCGUAGAUAUUAGGAGGAACACCAGUAGCGAAGGCGGCUUUCUGGACUGUAACUGACACUGAGGCACGAAAGUGUGGGUAUC
rnacentral:rRNA from 1 species